rnacentral:rRNA from 1 species
GAUGAACGCUAGCGGCAGGCCUAAUACAUGCAAGUCGGACGGGAUCCAUCGGUAGCUUGCUAUCCAUGGUGAGAGUGGCGCACGGGUGCGUAACGCGUGAGCAACCUGCCUCCAUCAGGGGGAUAGCCUCUCGAAAGAGAGAUUAACACCGCAUAACAUAUCAGACCGGCAUCGGUCGGAUAUCAAAUAUUUAUAGGAUGGAGAUGGGCUCGCGUGACAUUAGCUUGUUGGUGGGGUAACGGCCCACCAAGGCGACGAUGUCUAGGGGCUCUGAGAGGAGAAUCCCCCACACUGGUACUGAGACACGGACCAGACUCCUACGGGAGGCAGCAGUAAGGAAUAUUGGUCAAUGGGCGGAAGCCUGAACCAGCCAUGCCGCGUGCAGGAUGACUGCCCUAUGGGUUGUAAACUGCUUUUGUCCGGGAAUAAACCUCCUUACGGGUAGGGAGCUGAAUGUACCGGAAGAAUAAGGAUCGGCUAACUCCGUG